rnacentral:lncRNA from 1 species
UUUAAAAGUAAAUAUUACAGUGUUCACGAAUUGUGUCUCAAAGUAACAGGACAUUGGGUCCUGUAAGUUUCAGAUGUCUGUCUGACCCAUUAAAACUUCACAGGACCCAUAGAAUGAAAUUAAACACACAUUUCAGA